rnacentral:rRNA from 1 species
AAGGUUAGCUAAUCCUGGUCGGACAUCAGGUGGUUAGUGCAAUGGCAUAAGCUAGCUUGCCUGCGAGCGUGACGGCGCGAGCAGGUGCGAUAGCUGGUCAUUGUGAUCCGGUGGUUCUGAAUGGUAGGGCCAUCGCUCAACGGAUUAUAGGUACUCCGGGGAUAACAGGCUGAUACCGCCCAAGAGUUCAUAUCGACGGCGGUGUUUGGCACCUCGAUGGCGGCUCAUCACAUCCUGGGGCUGAAGUAGGUCCCAAGGGUAUGGCUGUUCGCCAUUUAAAGUGGUACGCGAGCUGGGUUUAGAACGUCGUGAGACAGUUCGGUCCCUAUCUGCCG